GGAGUUCAGAGGUGGGCUUUUCGAAAGGUCACAGCAGAGAGGUAUAUCAUACAAAGCGAAUGCAACAUGUCAUCACUGUCAAGUGGACCUCUGACAACAAGUACAUUCUGUGUGGCUCAGAUGAGAUGAACAUUCGUCUGUGGAAAGCUAAUGCUUCUGAAAAACUAGGCGUGCUUGUACCAAGAGAGAGGGAUGGGAAGAGCG